GCUCAUAUUUUUAAUUUAAUUUUACAAGAGGGAUUAAAGGUGAUAGAUGAAUCUAUCAUAAAGGUUCAUGAAAGAAUUAAAAAAAUUAAAUAUGUGAGAAGCUCACAAGUUUGAAAGCAAUAGUGUUUGGAAUGUAUUAGACCAAUUUCUUUGGAAAGUUUAAAAAAAAAUGCUUAAAGUAAGAUAUUCCUAUAAGAUGGAA
rnacentral:lncRNA from 1 species